CAUGGGUCCCGACCGACCAGAGUUGCCAGGUCCGUGGUUUUCUCGCCCAAUUGGGCUCUUUUUCCUGGUAUUGGGCGUGAAAAACAUGGUUUCCGCGGUUUGGCGCUUUUUGGGCUCUUUUUACCGCAGUUGGGCUAUUUUCUGGGCUACUUAUAUUUGAAAAUAUAUAAUAUACUCUUGCCUUCCCGACAUACCAAAUGAGGGAGUAGACUCACUCGUAUGAUAAGGAGUGGCGCCAGGUCAGCCAGUAGAAGGGUGGUGUGAACAAGUCUCCCCUCUCCCUAAGGGGAUUACUACUAGGGCCGCAUGACCUCAUUAAGACUGUAGGGCAUCCAUCCUGAACACCUGCAUGCCGCACCCAUAAUUUCCACAUUCACCUCACAGCACACACACUGAAACACAGCCACUUUAUUUAUUCUCAGCCUCGUAGCUGCCUCAGCCUGCCUGGAGGAGAUACAAGUAUACUGGAUGCAGGCCACGUGCAUACGUGUGUACGUAUGCACGUGAACAUGAGCAAGUGGUCGAAAUACAGCAAAAAAUACUGUAAAGAGUGGGAACAAGAGGACGGGCUCAAGACAACAAAGUGUUAGCACCGUGUAUGCUGAAGGAACUGUGUUGUGACAUUGGCAAAAGUGAAUAUUCAUUGAUAAUACACGAAAGUACUGACAAUAAUAGGAAGAAAAAGCUGUGUAUUGUUGUUGUUGUUGUUGUUCGGUACCCAAGUUACGAACAGAAAAGAAUCAUAACAUCAUUCUUGGGACUUGUUGAACUCGAUAGAAGCACUGCUGAGGCUGUUACAGCAUCUUUGCUUGAGUUCCUGAAAAAAAAAGUAAAUCUAGACAUAAAAAAGUGUAUUGGUUUGGCAAGUGAUGGCUGUAACACAAUGUCCGGAGCACACAACUCCGUAACCUCACGAUUACGUGAAAUAAAUCCGGAGGUUACACACAUCAAGUGCAUUUGCCACUCGUUACAAUUAUGCAUGUCGUAUGCCAUGAAAAAACUACCUUCCCACCUUGAGUUCAUGGUAUCGCAGACAUAUAAGUAUUUUUCGAAUAGCUCUCUCCGACAGCAGAAAAAUAUGCAGAGGUGUACGCUACCAUCAAUGUGGGAGAACAGCCCCUCAAGAUGUUGUUGCAGCAGCUGUCUGACACAAGGUGGCUUGCUAUUAUUAUGCAUGUUAUUCAUGCAUAAUAUUAUUAUGCAUAUUAUUCACAAAAUAUUGGGCUCUUUUGGAGGGUGGAGUCCGCGGGUUUUGGGCUCUUGUUGGAGUAAAAGAGCGCGGGAAUACUGCCGCAGACCUGGCAACCCUGCCUGCGACCGACUCGCCUGAGUUGACACUAAGCGACGGUGAAGGUGAGACGUACGCCGCCGUGUUCUGCCGUCCCUCCGGAUAUUCUCGGUGCCACCGCGACUCUGGCACCCCUCUGUUGGGUGUGCGUGGUGCCCCUGGCCUGACACUCCACGCGGCUGCUGUACCUAUACCGUGCUCCGGGAGGACAGCAGCGAUGCCGCCCUCUCUGUGUUAUGCUGUGUUUGGCCCACGCUGUGUUUUUCACGUGUUUCUGAAGUAAUGUGAUCGCUGAAGGAGAGAAAUGCUGGCGUGAGGAGGCGAGACGUGCUUCCAGGCAGUGAGUGGAGGAGGAGGAGGAUGUCGUCGCUGGUGGAGGCACUGCAGGUGUCUCCCGCCCGCAGCCGGCGUAGGAAGCCCUCCACGGCGCAGAGCCUCUACAGGGGCGUCGUCAGGAGCAAGUGUACCUGGGAAACACCGUGCAGUGCGGUUGUGUGUGUGUGUCCUCUUUUCAUUUAAACACCAGGGAACGGGACCACAGAGGCACAGGAGGUCAAUUAAGAGCAACGGCAACCCUCCAAUCCGGCAAGCAGUUGGCGGCAGCGAUGGCGGUGGCGGCAGCAGUGGUGGCGAGGCGGACGGCAGGGACAGAGGGGCAGUACAGGGUGCGGACAUCAAGGAGAAGUCUGAUCCUGGACCUGGUCGGCUUCAUGGCGGUGGUGCCUCUGUGUCCUGCUCUCCUUGACUGUUACUCCAAGCACAACACCAGCGGCUUGUAUUCCUCUCAGCUCUCCUGUGUGACUUAUUACCAACAUAUCAUCGGUUUCGCUGCGAGGUUCCAUUCUGUCUUGUUUGGCACUGAUUGGCGUGACAUUCAGCAUAGGCUUCACCGUCGGGCACACUGUGGGGCCUGCGUUCUCCCGCUGGGGAAGUACUGGGUGGUUCGCGGCCUCGGCUGUCUACGCACGCACUCUCACUGUGGCUAACAUAAUAUUCUUUGCUGUCUUCUUCCAGGAAUUGCUGCCUGAGGGCAGAAGGAGGAGGGACAUUGGUGCCAGUUUGACCGAGGCUUGGGAGGUGAUCAAUCCUAGGGCUCUGUUCUCCGUCAGCUGUGUCAAGGGCCUGGGCAGAGAAGCCUGGAGUUAACGCUGAUCUUCGCGACCCACCACAAGCAUAGUUACGACUCGUUGGCGCAGGACCGCAAGUUUUCCUUCCUGGGCCUGGUCAUGGCAAUUACACAGAGAGGGUUUAUGCGAAGUGUUAAGACUGGAACUGAAAAAGCAACUGCCAAUUAGUGGUUAAUGACGAUGACUCCUGCUUUCAUCCUCAUCGGGGCUAGCAAGACCAACCUGGGGCUGUACUCUGGACUGACGCUGUAUGCCAUAGGUUCCUCUUUGAUGGUGCCCUGCCUCACUGCCCUCGCCUCCUGUCACAGCACGGCCUCUCACAAGGGUACCCUGUUUGGCAUUCGGAGGUCACCAGGGGCUGUUCCAAGGGCGUUCGGACCUGUUGUGACCAAUAGGUUUGUUUGUGUUGUUCGAGAGUGUUUAGCUGUGUUUUGUGUGUUUUUUGGUGUGUUUUGAGGUGUUUUGGGGGUGUUUUUGGGUGUUUUAAGGGUGUUUUGGGUGUAUUUUUGGGUGUUUUGGUAUGUUUGGCUGUGUUUUGUGUGUGUUUUUGGUGUGUUUUGAGGUGUUUUGGAUGUGUUUUGGGGUGUUUUUGGGUGUUUUGGGUGUAUUUUUGGGUGUUUUGGGUGUUUUGGUAUGUUUAGCUGUGUUUUUGGUGUGUUUUGGGGUGUUUUGGGUGUAUUUUAGAGUGUUUUGCUGUGUUUUGUGUGUGUUUUUGGUGUGUUUGGGGGGUGUUUUGGGGUGUUUUUGCGUGUGUUUUGUGUGUUUGGAAGUCUGAGGCUGUGUUUUUGGGUGUUUUGGGUGUAUUUUAGGGUGUUUUAGGAUGUUUAGCUGUGUUUUGUGUGUGUUUUUAGUGUGUUUUGGGGUGUUUUGGAUGUGUUUGUGGGUGUUUUGGGUGUUUUGGUAUGUUUGGCUGUGUUUUGUGUGUGUUUUGGAUGUGUUUGGGUGUGUUUGAGGGUGUUUUGGGGGUGUUUGGAUGUGUAUGGAUAUAUUUAAGGGUGUUUUUGGUGUGUUUGGGGGUGUAGAGGUGUGUUUGGGUGUGUGGGACAAUGUUUUGGGGGUGUUUGGGGGUGUAGAGGUGUGUGUUGGUGUGUUUGGGUGUAUUUUGUUGUGUUGUCUGUGUUGUUUGGGUCUCUCUCUCUCUCUCUCUCUCUCUCUCUCUCUCUCUCUCUCUCUCUCUCUCUCUCUCUGCAGGAUUCUGGGUAAUGUGGGCAGAAGUGUGCUAUAUUGUAGACAGCCUCUCCAUGCUGCUGCCGCUAGUGAUGCAGCAGGCCUACUGAGCUCCCUGCCACGCCCUCAGCCUGUUUAUAUUAGCCAGGUUAAGGAGGAAGGAUGUUGGGCUGAUGUUGGCCUAUUUAUGUGGUUUUUGGGCUAGUUUUGGGCGGUUUUUUGUCACGUGUUCCUUCUUUUGGGCUAGUUUUGGGCGGUUUUUUGUCGUGUUCCUUCUUUUGGGCUAUCAUUAUCUAUUUUUGUUCUUUUAUUUUUCAUGGUUCCAGUGACAGUUUAAGAGGCUGUGGUGGAAGUUAUUAGGGUUUUCAAGGGUGUUUUCAUGGUUCCAGUGACAGUUUAAGAGGCUGUGGUGGAAGUUAUUGCGGUUUUCAAGGGUGUUUUUAUGGUUCUAAAAUUUAACAUGCUGUAGUGGAAGUUAUUAGGGUUUUCAAGGGUGUUUUCAUGGUUCCAGUGAUAGUCUAAGAGGCUGUAGUGUGCAAACUCUCUUGUCAGGGUGUAAACUCACCUUACCUUAAUAAAAUGUUGAUUAAUA